rnacentral:rRNA from 1 species
AAUUGCAAAGAACUUUGAAGAGAGAGUUCAAGAGGGCGUGAAACCGCUUGGAAGCAAACGGAUGGACCUGACGUAGAGCCAUUGGGAUUCAUCCCACUACUGUACCUCAGCCUGCCGACUGAUCUUCUGACAGCCUGGUGGGUCUUGGUGUGCACAGUGGGUGCAUUUCCUAGUGGUGUGCAUCGGGGCCUGUGAUGGCGCUGGAAUAAAGGUGGAGGCUAGCCGGCCAACUUCGGUUGGUGUCCCAGUCCUGCCUAGAACCGGGUCGCUGUCACAGGGAUUCUGUGGGUGUCCGCCUACUCUAAGUGGCUGUGAGCUUGUUUGGACCUAACUGUGGGGUUGUGCUUGCACGGCUCUGCGACCCCCAGAUGAGCGAGUGGUCCCUGUAGAGCAGACACCCUCCCCUGGUGUUUUAGUCAGUCACCCAUCCGACCCGUCUUGAAACACGGACCAAGGAGUCUAACAUGUGCGCGAGUCACUGGGUUGCAACACCCAAGGGCGCAAUGAAAGUAAAGUYUGGUUCGGCCGGACGACAUGGGAUCCUUCCCUUUGGGGUCGGAGCACCAUGGUCCCGUCUAUGCUGCAUUGUCAGUGGGGCGGAGAUAGAGCGUACACGUUGGGACCCGAAAGAUGGUGAACUAUGCCUGAGCAGGAUGAAGCCAGAGGAAACUCUGGUGGAGGUCCAUAGCGAUUCUGACGUGCAAAUCGAUCGUCGGACUUGGGUAUAGGGGCGAAAGACUAAUCGAACCA